UACAGAGGUCCCAAGCGUUGUUCGGAUUCACUGGGCGUAAAGGGUGCGCAGGCGGUUGUGCAAGACCGAUGUGAAAUCCCCGGGCUUAACCUGGGAAUGGCAUUGGUGACUGCACGGCUAGAGUGUGUCAGAGGGGGGUAGAAUUCCACGUGUAGCAGUGAAAUGCGUAGAGAUGUGGAGGAAUACCGAUGGCGAAGGCAGCCCCCUGGGAUAACACUGACGCUCAUGCACGAAAGCGUGGGGAGCAAACAGG
rnacentral:rRNA from 1 species